CGCGCGGUUCCCCGACUUGCCUAUUUUGAACAUGCAUCCACCCUGAGUAACGAGAGAACCUCCAAAUUCAUCUUACAGUGACACUUCGUUCAAUUUUAGGGUUUAUACACUCCUGUUUCUCUCAUUCUGCGAUCUGCUCUUCCUCUCCCUCCCUCUCCCUAUCCUCUCAUCAAAUCAAACGAGUAUCCUUUCUUCUCCGCUUCUGCUUCUACCCUAACUUCGGAAGCGAAGGCAGCAGAACUACUUUCAGCUCUGGAGCACUUAAGCAUCACUCGAUUAUCUCGACAUAACUUUAGCGGUCGAUCACCGAUGCCACCACCAAACGAUGGAAAAGUGUCAUCGAAGGACCGCCUUCAACCUCCGUUUUAGAGAGAUUGUCUAAUUUUCCCAUUCGGAUGUGUUCAGAGCUCGCAAUUUUCUCUCUCCUGCCAGAGCGUUACUGUACGGAGCGAGAAUCUGACUCUACGUCUUCACCGCUCGAAGCUCCCAAGGAAGCCGAUGGAAGGCUGACGAACUGGCUAGUUAUUCAAGUGGAAUGCUUCAUCUGCUGAAAUUAUUUGAGCCAUGAGGUCCAUGAAGGAAAUUUCAGAUAUGGGAAUUUGUCAAGGAGGUUAGCAAAGCAUCAAUGAAAAUGGAUAUCUGUAUGUGAGCAAAAAAACAGAGCAAGAUAGUAAUUUCCUUGCUAAGGAAGCCCGCCGGGCUGCCCAUUCUAUGGAAAUCAGUCUUGAAAAGGUUGGAUUCAUCUCUUCACAGGUAUUUGUCCUUUUAUUGCUGACUUUGUUUGGCCUUAGGAUGAUAGCAAUAUUGUCGCCAUCUUUCAGAAGAUAAGCCUCCUUUUUCUUUGUUGCUGUUGGAGAAAUUCAAUUGAGUAAAUCAUUUAUGUAGCCAUCUUUCGGCUGUGCUGGGGGAGAGAGUAAUUGAUGAAGACUUGCUGGUAUGAUCAUGUGGUAUUACCAGCUCAAAACUUUUGUUGCAAAUAACAUUUAGUUCAACUUCAACUUAUUAAUUUAGCCUGCUUUUUUUUUUGACAUUAGACAGAAUGAGUAUGUUGGCGGGUAUGUCAGUUAAAUUAGGUAAUGAUUAAAGUUUUUUGUAAUGUGUUGUUGAAAUGCUAUAUUGUUUUUCUAUUAAAGUAAACAUAAAACAACUUUCUACAAGAUUGCAAUGCUGUUUUCCAACUAAGAAGUAAGGAUGAACAUGAUUAUGUUGGUAGAAAUGACAAACUAUGUGGUGCUUAAAAUGCGAGUGCCAAUAUUUUUAACUUAUUUGGGGGUUAAUAGCUUUCUGAUGGGUUUACACUUGAAAAUAUCUUCAUUCAUUCUCAUCCCACCAAAGCAAUGUCCUAAGAGAGAAACAAGAUAACCUGAAUACUUAGCUUGCAAUUUGUUACAUUUUGUCACUCUUUAUUAGGAACAUUGGCUAGAUUUACCGUAGGCUUCUAAACGUUAUAUUCUACUACAGUUUGAGUGCAAUGCUGUUCAAAUCUCAUGAAAUUUUGUUUUUUGUCAUAAUUAUUUAAUCACUGGUGAGUAGAAACUCUGUUUCACGAUUAUGGAAAUGCUACUCUUUCCAUUCUCUCCAGAAUACUAGUCGUUCUGAUGCUGAACAAAUUGGCGUUGGCUUGUCAUUUUGACUUUAUUUAAUUAAUCUUCAUUGUGCUUUGUAGGGGUUCUAGGGCGGCACUUUUCUCAGCCGAGACAAGCUUCAAGCCUCUUUGAGUAUUAUACACGGGACCACUGUGCCUCAAAGAUAUUUGCUUGACACUACUCAAAUGGUACCUGACACAUUGUUGAAGACUAAGCAAGGUGCCAGAGACAUGUUUGCAGUGAUUGAAUUGCAACACGAGCCACCCUCACCUGGACAUGCAAGUUCUCUUGUUGCUUAGUUGAAAAGACAGCAUACUUGGUAGCUGGAAGCAUGUGUUUGGUACACAUUGGCAGAUGCGACUUGUCAUCUAAAAAACUAUGGGACAGGUAUGUUUGAACUAAUCUGGUGGUUUUAUCGUGAUGACAGUGUGCAAUCUUUGAUAUGUAAACAUGAGUGUUCAGCAUCAUACUAUUAUAGUAUUAUGUAACUACCAGGCUCAGUUCCAUCAAUUAUAAGACAUGAGAGGCUUCGGGCAUGCACUGUGUGUUUCACAUUCAUGUGUGCACAUAAAAGAAUGCAUGCAUAGGGUUAAUUGUGAAGAAAUAUGCAUUUAAUUUCCAAGUUAACCUACUGUUUCUUC